CCUACGGGGGGCAGCAGUGAGGAAUAUUGGUCAAUGGCCGAAGGGCUGAACCAGCCAAGCCGCGUGAAGGAAUAAGGCCCUACGGGUCGUAAACUUCUUUAGUCAGGGAACAAAGGGUGCCACGUGUGGCGCUGUGAGUGUACCUGAAGAAUAAGCAUCGGCUAACUCCGUGCCAGCAGCCGCGGUAAUACGGAGGAUGCGAGCGUUAUCCGGAUUUAUUGGGUUUAAAGGGUGCGUAGGCGGUUUGUCAAGUCAGCGGUAAAAAUUCCGGGCUCAACCCGGUCCCGCCGUUGAAACUGGCGAACUCGAGAGGGAGAGAAGUAGGCGGAAUGCGCAGUGUAGCGGUGAAAUGCAUAGAUAUUGCGCAGAACUCCGAUUGCGAAGGCAGCCUACCGGCUCCUGUCUGACGCUGAGGCACGAAAGCGUGGGUAU
rnacentral:rRNA from 1 species